rnacentral:lncRNA from 1 species
GACGUCUGUAUUUGAACCAGGCUACAUUAUUUUCAAAGUAUACCAGGCAGCUACAGAUGUGGCUGAUGAAAAUCAAGAACCAGACACCAGUAUAGACGCAGUGACAUUCGUAGGCGCAGGCUUGGCGCUGAUAGUGCGCGUCAUUUUGCUGGUCUUCUGUUACAAAGUGUACAGAAAUUAUGGAGUUGGGCUCAAAGAAAAAGUAUUUAUAAAGCCCUUUUGGCACUCCCCUUACCCCCCUUUGAACCCUGGGGAGAGUACUAAGACGUACCAAUGCCUCAAACUAGCGACUGAGUCGUCACCAGAGACACAAGGUGCUUACUAACAAGACAGUGACUUGUGUAUGGAUAUGGCUUUAAGUUCUGCUCAUACAAUACCAUGACUACUUAAGAUUGGAUACCUGACUCGCCUUGAAAACCAUAGUCUGGUUGUACCCUCUACCAGGCGACAGACUGAUUUUCCACAGAUAUUCACAGAUAUGUCUCUAGAUAAAUAGACGGUCAUUUUGGUCUGUUGCCAAGCUUUUUUUUUCUUGUGCUCAUGUGAAAUCUUUGCAUAUAACUGCAAAUGUAUAUUUUGAUUGUAUGGAAUUUUUGUACAGUUCAUUUUAUCCAAGCUUAGUUAUCAUUAUUUUUAUCGCUCUCCAUAUAUUUUAGAAAUCCAGUUUUUUUUUCAGAUUCUGAAAGAAUUACCCUUUCAGAGUUUCCAUGGACUUUUUUGCUGUACAAUUACAAUUAUUUGAUAUUAUUUUUACAGUAUUGUAAGGCAGACCUGUAAACAUGAAAUGGUAAAAAAAGCUCUUGCAAGAGACUUAAUGCCUAUAUUAAUAUAUGAUAUAUUACUUAUGUUCCUGUUUUGUUCUAAUCUCUUAAGCUGAUUUUAAUAUCAAGAAGAAAUUUUCAUCAAUUUUAAGAUAUGAUGAUUUUGUUGUUAAUAUUUGGUGUUUUAUGUUUGUUGGGAAAUCUUUUGGGGACCAUUUGAGAUCUCAUUUAUGUGACUUUAUAAAGAUGUAUUAUAUUUAACAUGAUUUCUUUAAUUACAAAAUAUUUUAAUGCAAUUAUGGGUAAGUGUGUGAGAAAAGGUGCUGCUGAACUUGUUAUAUUGUUCAAUAUUCAAGACUGUGCAAUGCAAUCUUUUAUGCUUUUAUUUUCUUUGUAAUUGACUGGUUAUUGCUACACAAUGUGUAUGAUUUAUCAUCAUAAUUUGUAAUAGAAGUAAUUUAAAAAUAAUGUAAAAAAAAUAUGUGCUGCAGAUUUUUCUAGUUAUAUUACUUAGUUGUGAUUUUUUGUGACAGAUCCAGUAAAUUGUUUUGUCCAUAUGGUUAAGUUGGAAAAUAAAGUUGUGGUCAUUAUGUUAAACGUAAUUUUGUCAAAUUAAUAAAUUAUGUGUAUUCUAUUUGUUAAAAAGUGUAAUCGUGCAUCAUACUAUGCGACUGUAUAUUUGUCAAAGUGCAAGUUCACAAAAUGCAAAUAUGUGUAGUUAUAAAGUUAUACAUCUAUACAUACAAACAGCUGUAUCAUAAAAAUACACAUUCCCAAUUCAAUCUUGAAAUC